rnacentral:rRNA from 1 species
GUAGGUGGCAAGCGUUGUCCGGAAUUAUUGGGGCGUAAAGCGCGCGCAGGCGGUUCUUUAAGUCUGAUGUGAAAGCCCACGGGCUCAACCGUGGAGGGUCAUUGGAAACUGGAGAACUUGAGUACAGAAGAGGAAAGCGGAAUUCCACGUGUAGCGGUGAAAUGCGUAGAGAUGUGGAGGAACACCAGUGGCGGAGGCGGCUUUCUGGUCUGUAACUGACGCUGAGGCGCGAAAGCGUGGGGAGCAAACAGGAUUAGAUACCCUGGUAGUCCACGCCGUAAACGAUGAGUGCUAAGUGUUAGGGGGUUUCCGCCCCUUAGUGCUGCAGCUAACGCAUUAAGCACUCCGCCUGGGGAGUACGGCCGCAAAGGCUG